GGCCCAAUUGUCCAGUGGUAAGACAUGUUGUUUUCAUCAACUUAACGCGGGUUCGAAUCCCGCUUGGGCUA
rnacentral:tRNA from 1 species